GAUGAACGCUGGCGGCGUGCCUAAUACAUGCAAGUAGAACGAACAGGCGGGGGGCUUGCUCCUCUGACGUUAGCGGCGGGCGGGAGUGUAGCACAUGGAUAACCUCUCUAAGCGGCUGGGAUAACUUCGAGAAGCCAGCGCUAGUACCGUAAAAUAAAUUGAACCAUGUGGUUCACUAAUAAAGGGCGGUUUUGCUGUUACUAAAUGGUGGUGCGUCGCGGCAUUGGCUAGUUGGUAAGGUAACGGCUUACGAAGGCAACGAUUCGUAGCCGCCCUGAGAGGGUGUCCGCCCACACUGGAACGGAGACACGGCCCAGAUCCCUACGGGAGGAAGCAUAAGGGAAUCUUCGGCAUUGAGCGAAAGCCGGACGGAGCAACGCCGCUGGAUGGAGGAAGUUCUCCGGACCGUAAACCUUUUUUAUUAGGGAAGACGAAAUGUGUAAGUAACUGUGCACGCCUUGACGGUACCUUAUCAGAAAGCCACGGCUAACUACGUG
rnacentral:rRNA from 1 species